rnacentral:rRNA from 1 species
AAGCUCGUAGUUGAAUUUCGGGGUUAGUAGGUUGGUCAUGCCUCUGGUAUGUACUGGUCUCACUGAUUCCUCCUUCCUUAUGAACCGUAAUGCCAUUAAUUUGGUGUUGCGGGGAAUUUGGACUGUUACUUUGAAAAAAUUAGAGUGUUUAAAGCAAGCUAACGCUUGAAUACAUUAGCAUGGAAUAAUGAAAUAGGACGCUCGAUCUUAUUUUGUUGGUUUCUAGGAUUGACGUAAUGAUUAAUAGGGAUAGUUGGG